GGGCGGGGCCGCGGCGGCAGGGCGGUCGCCAUCUUGGAGACGGGCGAGAGGAAGGGCAGGCGCGGCCUCGCGAGCAUGCCGCGUGGUGGCUUGAGGGCUGCGUAUUGCUCGGUGUCCCUCUGCAGACUCGCAAGGAGAAACUCCCGAAGUCUGUUUACAGUGGCGAGGCCUUGCGCAGGUCGGAGACCGCAACAGUCCAAAAGCACAAGCGCAAAGAGACCUCAAAGUUAUCUCUGGGCAAAAUUAGAAGAAACCCUAUGUAGUGACUUUCCUCCACUGGAUCAAGUCUUCCCUCGACUGGAUCAAGACAGUGGCAUUUGGACACAGAAAAGAUCUGGUUAAUAGUAACCUUUGAAUGAGGAAAUUUGGAAAAUAUCCAAGUUCUGUAAUGAAACAGCCCCUAGAUCUGGAAUAUAUUGGAGAAAAACCUCCCUCUCAUAACCUGAAAUACAGCGUGUUAACAGAAGGAUGAUCUGAAUGCGAUCUAUAAAGUGGGGAGCUGGGGAACUGAACUCAGAUCUCAAGCCCUCUUUAGGGCAAAAGGGUUUAUUUUGUAUUUGUCACUGUGAACUAAUUACACUCCUCUGAAUCUGGUGGUCAAGGCUGGUUGAAUCGCCGGAUGUGGAAACUGAUGCCAUGGAGACCUGAUCACGCGGGGCCCUCUGUCUUAUUUCUUACCAUUUUACAUAAGGAACUCUGGUAUCCACAGAUAUGUGUUCCUGGGACCAAUUCCCUGCAAUUGAUACCAGGGAAUGACUGUGAUUGGCAUAUUAUACUAUACAUCUGGCUUUUAUGAGUUUGGGUGAGCUGAGAAAACGGUUUCAAAUCUUUGGCAUUACUUCUUUCAUUCAUUCAUUUAGCAGAGAAGGGCUGGAGAUUCCUGGUAUUGAAUAGAGAAAUCUCCUAUUUAGCUUUGUGGCCAGUAAAAUGCAAAUUAAAUGUAUGUCAUGGACAUUUGCUUUUAGAUUUUAAUAAUUUCAAUUUGCUGUAUAUGAAAUUGUAGCUGGACACCAAUUCAGCAGUGGCUAAGAACACUUCAGCUUUUGGUUUCUCCCUCUGUAUUCAGUGAUUUGUAAACAAUUGUUCAGAUUUAACUUUUAAGAGACACUGUGAUCCUACUGAAAUGUAAUUACUUUAGAAUGUGAAUAAUUUCACCCUCUAAUUUUCCCGUGGCAAGAUGUUUUGACACUACUAAUGAGUGGUUAUGAAAACUUAAAAGGCCAAGGGAAGGUCCAUAAGAGUACUUCUCUAUGGCAAGAUUUUUUUCCCCACGGCUGGCAAUCACACUUCCCUCACUCUCAAGUCUGUAUUUUUAAGAAGGGCAUUAAGGGACUUCUGUGAUGGUCCAGUGGUUAAGAAUUCACCUUCCAAUGCAGGGACACAAGUUCGAUCCUUUGUGGGGAAACUAAAAUUCCACAUGCUGAGGGGCAACUAAGCUGGUGGGCUACAACUACUGAGCCCACACACUCUGUUCAGUGCCUGUGUUCCACAACAAAAGAAGCCCCCAUGGACUGCAACAAAGACCCACUGCCUUCGUGUUAUAUACAGUUCAGUGAGAGACUUCUUACUGAAUAAUUAUCCACUUACAACCAUGAUAGGUACCAGGGAAGAAAAAGUGAAGUUCUAUAAAAGGAAUGAAUAGUACCAUCUAGUCUAGUGAGAGAGGGUUUUGGGGAAAGGAUCCUUCAGGGAUUUCCUGAAAAUGUGACAUUUUCACUAGGACUUGAAAGAUAAAUAAGAGUUAGCUAGGUGAAAGGUGUGAGGGAAAAUUAUUCCAAGUCUUAAGGCUAGGAAAACAAAAACUUGAAUAGAAAAUUAAGA